rnacentral:rRNA from 1 species
CCGAACGGCAGAAGUGGUGAUGGGCGCGUAUUUUCCGCCGGGCUCUUGACCGGCGUACUUGUGCGCGUCCGUAGGUCAGCGUGGGUUGGGGCGUGGGAGUCGUUCAUGGGAAGGUC